rnacentral:rRNA from 1 species
GAUGAACGCUGGCGGCGUGCCUAAUACAUGCAAGUCGAACGAAAACAUGAUGAGCUCGUUCCCUUGACGUUAGCGGCUGACGGAUGAGUAACACGUAGAUAACAUUCCUCUUUUACUGGGAUAAUAGCGGGAAACCGGAUAUAAUACUGCAUCAUACAUUGAACCGCUGGAUUCAAUAGAUAAUCAGGCCUUUGCCGACUCUGUUAGACGGUGUCGGGUCGGAUUAGCUAGUUGGUAAGGUAACGCCUUACCAAGGCAACGAUGCGUAGCCGACCUGAGAGGAUGAUCAGCCACACUGGAACUGAGACACGGUCCAGACUCCUACGGGAGGCAGCAGUAGGGAAUCUUGCACAAUGGGCGAAAGCCUGACGGAGCAACGCCGCGUGAGUGAUGAAGGUCUUCGGAUCGUAAAGCUCUUUUGUUAGGAAAGAACAAAAGUAGAUUAAACUAUGGACGUCUUGACGGUACCUAAUCAGAAAGCACCGGCUAACUACGUG